rnacentral:sRNA from 1 species
GCUGGGUGUGGUGGUGCACGCCUAUAAUCCCAGCAGCUGGGGAGGCUGAGGCAGGAGGAUCACAAGUUCAAAGCCAGCCUCAG